rnacentral:lncRNA from 1 species
CGAAAGCAUCCGCAGCGACCGCAACACUGACAUGUUCCUCUGUUCUCGCUGCGUGGCCAGAAACUCUGUGCCGGGAGUUGCUGCGUGUGUGAAGGAAGCCGCAGGUUGACGGAUGCUGACUGUUCCAAAGUGGGUUUAGUUGGGGCAAGACUGCCACUGAAUGUGGCAGUAGUCCUUCUAACCUUUUCGGCAGUGCGUGAAAUGCUUUCGGUCGAGAAUGCGAGAGACUUAGAACCUCCGAGGAGGUGCGGCACUGAGGUAAAAUACCAUCGGCGAUGCUGGGAAGAAAAGCCUGCCUAACUGCCUAAGGUUUUUUUGCAUCGGGUGCUCAAGCCUAUUGUUCCGAUUUUGUGUUUCUGUAUCAAACUCUGGAAUCGCGGGUGCUUUCCACCUCAGUGUGAUCACGGGAAUCAGAGGAGGGGACGUCGGAUGUUCUGGUUUCCGUUUAGCAAGCGGCGAAGUCGUUGCUGUAGCCAGUCGGUUUGUUAGGAAGUCACGGCCGUUGCUCGUACCGGAACGUUUGGUUUUUUGGGGCACGGCGCAUGGUAAACGGCACCGUUUGUGGCAUGACGCGUCUCAGUGGGACGCGUCCGAUUCCACGUAACAGGGCACGUGCAAGCGCGAUCCCAAACAUUUAAGCAG